ACCAACCCCGUCCGUUCGCCAUGUGGGGCUCCGCCCUCCGGCCCUCUGGGGCUCCCAUAACCCCCCUGGCCUUUUCCCGGCCUCCAGGCCCUGGGAGGGUUGACCUUUGACCUAGUGUGGGCCUGGGCAGAUUGUCUGACCUCUUGACCCCCUUUCACGACUGCUGACCUUUGACCUCUCGUCACUUGCGUUUGACCUCUGACCCCACGCGGCCUGUUUCCGCCUCGGGCGCCCAGCCAUUUGAGGUUGACCUUUGACCUCUCGGGCAUUGGCCUUCGACCCUGUAGGCUUGACUUUGAACCUCGGCCGCGGCCAAGGGGCCCACCCCUGGGUCUCCGGGCCGGCUGCGAACUUUGGCCUCCCCGUCUGCUCGGUCUGGUUCAGGGCUGAGCCGCUUGCCUGUCCCUGCGGGAACGACUCACAAUCCUGCAGUCAGGGUGUGACUCCGGAUUGACUCUGGAUUGACCCUGUGGCCUGAGAACUGAAUCCAGGCCUGUCCUCAUUGCAGUGAGGGCGUGACUCCACAUUGACCCUGGCCGGCUGGGAUCACAAUCUAGCUCUACCCCCUUGCAGUCAGGAGUGACUCUGGAUUGACUCCAGAUUAACUCCAGUGGGCUGAGAGAAUCCAGCUUUGUUCCCAUUGUGGUUGGGAGUGACUCUGGAUUGACUCUGGAUUAACUCCAGCAGGCUGAGAGAAUUCAGCUUUGUUCCCAUUGUGGUUGGGAGUGACUCUGGAUUGACUCUGGAUUAACUCCAGCAGGCUGAGAGAAUCCAGCUUUGUUCCCAUUGUGGUUGGGAGUGACUCUGGAUUGACUCUGGAUUAACUCCAGCAGGCUGAGAGAAUCCAGCUUUGUUCCCAUUGCAGUCGAGGGUGACUCUGGAUCGAUUGCGGAUUGAGUCAAGCAGGCUGAGAGAAUCCAGCUUUGUUCCCAUUGCAGUCAGGGUGACUCUGGAUUGACUCCAGCGGGCUGGGAGAAUCCAGCUUUGUCCCUGUUGCGGUCUGGAUUGACUCUGGAUUAACUCCAGCAGGCUGAGAGAAUCCAGCUUUGUUCCCAUUGCAGUCGGGGUGACUCCGGAUUGGCCCACAGGGAUGAGACCUGACUCAGUGACUGCUUUUAAACCCCUUGCGUCUCUGGAACAGACCACGAUGCCUCCAUCCCCCUUCCCGAAUUCCCCUCCCCCAUCACAAUGUACACAUUUUUCUAUGCAGAAGCAUAAGCCUUAAUUCCCAGCGCCCGCUACGCCCCCUGCAGGACAGCGAUGGAGCCACAGAAACCAGCCUGCCCCCCCCAAACAUCUGGACAGCCCUCCAUGCUUCUGUGGGCCUUCCGCCCCCCCAUCCUUGGUGGUGCCCUGGAGCCAACAAACCUUUGACACCGACGACGCUCGCGCCCGCCUCUCCGGAGCCGCUUUCUGGAGCUUGCUCUGCCCCCGCCCGCCCCGUCUGGACUUGGGGCCUUACCCACCUGUGUGCACUGGGGUUGCCGCUUCGGGGGCAGGGGGAGGGGGAUCCUGCCCUCCCCCAAGUUUCACUCAUCAGGGAUUUUGAGCCUCCAGCGGUGGAGUCGGACGGGGCCGUGCUGAUCCCGAUUGGUGGCGAGCGUGCACGUGCAGGAGGGCAGGUGUACACGGGGCCGUGCGAAGCAGCCAGGGGGCCAAUGGGCCGUGCAAGAUGGAGGCGUGUGCAAAGUGUGUGGCUUGCACUGACCUGCCUGGUGGUGGGUGUGUAAAAUGUACGUGACUUGGUGUGUGGGGGGGGCUGAUGCUGCUCCCUCCCCGUGGGAGUCAGGCACAAGCCUGCGUGCCAUUUGCACAGAUCCUUUGUGCGGCGGGUGUGCAAAAGGGUUGGCACUAAUUGCCCCCAAAGGGGCGGGCAUGGAACAAGUGUGAUUUGCAUGGAGCUAGUGACCAAAAUGGGAGGGGGAAUUGGCACAGAUCUCCCCGGCAGCAGGUGUGCACAAUGACUGUGUCCUGGCCUCCUCUGCUGUGCAGCCAGCGAGCUCAGUUAUUGGGGCUGGCGUGCAAAACGUGCACCAAUUUCCCCUGCGGUGGGUGAGCAACACAAGUGUGCAUUGCACGGAUCCACCGUGGACUGGGAACUUGUGCUGAAUUCUCAGGCGGUUGUUGUUACAAAAUGGGCGUCAUUUGCACUAAUUUGUGGAGUCAUCAGUUUGCAAAGAAGGGGAGGGGGAUGGUGCAUAUCCCGCCCUCCCCCGUCGCAGGUGUCCUGGGCAAGUGUGCAUUGCACGAAUCAGCAGUGGUGCAAAUGGCUCCGGCUUUCCGUGUGGAUGGAUGGGAACGCAAAGUGGGGGUGAGUCGCACGAGAGGGAUGUGUGCCUGAUGUGCUGAAGCUGUGUGGCUUACCCUUGAUAACGGGGGAGCCGAGCAAAAUGAGUGGUGCUGGUGCAAAUUGAGUGUGCAGCAGGGGAAGGGGGAUUUGCACGGAUUUCUCCAGUGGUGGGUGUGUAAGGUGAGUGUGCCCCGAUGCCCUAUGCUGACAGGUCUCCCAGCGUGUGUGCCCCGUGGGUUUUCUGACCUGGGCACGAGUACACAGGGAGGGGGGAAGAGGGAAUGCACAGAGAGCUGGCCAUGCGUGCACCCCACAGAGCUCCGUCCUCCCCAUCUCAUAGCCUGCCCCCUGUAAAUACAGCCCCAGGGUCCUGCGACCGGCUGCUCGAUGAGCUGUAUGGAGGGAAGCCAGCUCUGUCUGGCAGAGAACCAGAUGGAAUAAAAAGGAUCAUGCAACCCG